rnacentral:pre_miRNA from 1 species
CUUACAGAGUUCAUUGGCAUUCUGUCCACCUCCCUCGUUCUUUUUUCGAGAAAAAAAGAAGAAGGGGGGAAGCAAGAUUUAGUGUGGAGGUGGGCAUACUGCCAAUAGAGCUGUGUUGG